GGGGAAUUUUGGACAAUGGGCGCAAGCCUGAUCCAGCCAUGCCGCGUGAGUGAAGAAGGCCUUCGGGUUGUAAAGCUCUUUCGGACGGAAAGAAAUCGUGCAGGCUAAUACCCUGCGCGGAUGACGGUACCGUCAUAAGAAGCACCGGCUAACUACGUGCCAGCAGCCGCGGUAAUACGUAGGGUGCGAGCGUUAAUCGGAAUUACUGGGCGUAAAGCGUGCGCAGGCGGUUGAUUAAGACAGGCGUGAAAUCCCCGGGCUUAACCUGGGAACUGCGCUUGUGACUGGUCAGCUAGAGUACGGCAGAGGGGGGUGGAAUUCCACGUGUAGCAGUGAAAUGCGUAGAGAUGUGGAGGAACACCGAUGGCGAAGGCAGCCCCCUGGGCCGAUACUGACGCUCAUGCACGAAAGCGUGGGUAGCAAAC
rnacentral:rRNA from 1 species